AUGGUUCAUGUGUAUAUGAUUCCAGGUUCCACUGGGGACAUUGUGCUGACCCAGUCUCCAGCUUCAUUGGCUGUCUCUCUGGGACAAAAGGCCACCAUCUCUUGCAAGUCCAGUGAAAGUGUCAAUGAAUAUGGUAUAGAUUUUAUGGACUGGUAUCAACAGAAACCAGGACAGCCCCCCAAACUCCUCAUCUAUGCAGCAUCCAACCUAGCAUCUGGGGUUUCUGCCAGGUUCAGUGGCAGUGGGUCUGAGACAGACUUCACCCUCACCAUCCAUCCUGUGCAGGCUGAUGAUGCUGCAAUCUAUCACUGUCAGCAGGGUAAGGAGGAUCCUCCCACAGUGCUUCAGGGCUAA